GGAAUAUAAGAACCCGUCUCUUAACUUUUAACUAAAAAAAUUAAGAACCGGCUCUUAAAACUCUUAUUUAAGAGCCGGUUCUUAGCUUUUUUAGUUAAAAGUUAAGAGACGGGUUCUUAUAUUCC
rnacentral:pre_miRNA from 1 species